UCUAGGAAGAAUGGCAACAUCGUACUCCUUAACACACUGGAAGGCGGCAGGAAAGCGCUCUCUUACUCGGCUUCCAAAACUAAUGAAGGAAAAUACCUACAAAGUCCAGAAAAAAAAAAUGAAAAAAACUUCAGACCUGGCAGAUUAUGAUUAUUAGCAUAUUAGCUUUUCCCAGGUGAUGCUGAACCCUUUUGUUUCUGGAGCUUGCUGUACAUGUUUUCUUCUUGUUCUCUCUGAUUGUUGUUUGGAUAGAGAAGCUGAAGACUGAAGCACAAAUUCACAGUGCCUGGGUAUAUGAAAUCUGCCUUUUGGCCCUCCGAGGAAGUGUCUUGCUGUUUAUUCUACAUGAUCUCUCCUUGUCCUGGCCUGCUGUGCCUCCCCUUGCAUCCCCAGAUCCCUCAUGGAGAGAGGACGAAGAGAAGGAAAUGAGAAGAGAAACCAAGAUGGGAACACUCGGUUCUGUCUGAAGCCUCUCGACAGCCUCCCCUGCUGUCUGCAGACAUCCUCCAUUUGUCCCGACAACCUUUCCCCAGGAUCCCACAAGCCACAGCAUUGGGAAGACUGUGCAGAAGCCUCUGCUUCCCCUGUCUUCCCCAUGCACAUGGCUGAAGUGUAUCCCCACUGGAUGUCACAUACAAGUCCAGAAAAACUCCUCUCAGCUGGGUUUAGUAAUCAGAACUGCCAGGAGCCACUUUGGCACUUAGCAGUGCAGGGAACAACACACCCUCCUCUUCUCCCUUCUCCCUGCUGGUGGCCCCUGAUCAAUUCUCUCGAGCGUAUCCGCCUGCAUAUGUCAUGCUGACUGCCAGAAAACCAGCUGCUCUUCACAGCUGGAUUUAGUAAACUGAACCAUGUCAAUGCUUUAGCACUCAGUAGCACACAGAUUUCUUGCCACCCACCCAGGGCUCCCAUCGCCUACUUCCUGGCAGAGCGGCUGUGGUGGCUGUCUGAAAGUGCUCCCCAAUUGGUUUUGUUUUUAACUAAGUAAAAUAUUAUAUCCUGGGGGAAAACAAGCAAACAA